ensembl:lncRNA
AGAGGCGCAGUCAAUACACUCUUUUAGUUGCGAAGAAAAAACGCUACGAGUCAUCAUCUUACUCGCACGUGUUUCUUUGUUCUUCCUCGUGCCUGCUACGCAGUUCGUGCGGAUGUUGGAGAAACAACAUAGCUGUACCUUGAGUCAGAAAGUUGAUAACUGAAAUAGAAAGUAAAUAUUGAUAAACAUUGAGACGAUUGAGAAGCUGUGGACAUCGUGUAGAACUCUGUUGAACUAUUGAUUGAUAUUCCGGCUGGUUUUUUUUGUGGAGCCUUCAGAGGACCGUCAUCUGUCCAUAUCUCCAUCCUGGUUGCUUUCCAUCUUCUGCCAGGGGAUCAUCAUUCACAUUGCCAUUCCAUCCUGCAAUACUCUCCCUGGACUGCCUCAUCUGACAUCCAUUGGGGUGGUACACUUUGAAGAUGACCAAUUCACUGACACAAAAAGAAGGGAUGUUGAAGCUGAGGCCCGAUGCAGUCCCAACAGUUUUCAUUCAAAGCCGAAGAGGAAACCCCCUUCUGUGAGGGUGCCUCCAGAACCAAGUGCAACGGACCACACAUGGCACCAAAUUAAACUUCGAGAUUGAGGGAGAAAUUGAGGUGGAUUUCAAGAGCGAUGAAAAGGACAUGACAGGAGACAGAGAGCAAUCAAGAGGCCACUUUGCCAGGGGCAGGUGAUCCAGGGACCAGACUGCCAGACCGCCCAUCAUAAUCAGCAUUGUUGAAGCGGCGGCAUCUGUAGGGCUUCAUGUGCUGAACAUCACCCUUUCCAGGAUAUAAUUAAACAAACACACUGUUAUUUCUACUAGCUAUCGCAUCAUCAAACCCGUCCUUAAAUCAACCUAAAUGAUCCUAGUAAUCCAACAUAAAUAACUAACUAAAUAAAAGUUAGAUUCACUACUGAACUACGUAAUUGUUGGUGUAGAUACCUUCACACGGCGAAGUCGAGCCAACAAACCAGCAGGCAAUCGGUCGUCUACCAAGAUAAAAAUAUAUAUAAUUACGCUGUGCAUAUACAAAUAAAUAUCAGUAUAUGCAUCAUAAAGGUCCUGAUACAACACAGACAGUUGACAAUUAAGAGGUAGCUAUUUAAUCAAUUUACCUCAGAAGUUACUCGACGGCCAGCAAUGGAAAUGAAUGAUCUCCUACGCCGUAAAAUGGUUGUUUAGAACUAUUCGAGGCUCCAUACCCCGGAAGUAGGCGCUACAACGGAGUCCAAUGGAAGUGUCGCCACUCUGUUAUAUCUACCACUCUGGGUCCGUCCUAAUAUGUACCGAAAACUUUUACAAUGCAACAAAAUAUUGAAAGAGCUUCAAGCUAUUAUGCACAGAUAGUAUAACAAUAUAUUAGUCAGUCAUUUGUAUUAGGUUAAACAAGGAUUUGAUAACAUUUUUAAUUUAAGGACCACCCACAAUUAGUGUGGCCCAUCCACAACUGGAAUCCUGGCGCCUUGCCUGUGCUGUACGAUUGGCAUUGGGAAUUGAUUAAAUUAUUUUCGACUUUAUAAAAAAUAAUAUUAAAUACAUAGCAAUGAAUUGCGUUUGAAAACAUAACUAAAGCAUAACAUGAGUUAUGUUUUAACUAGAUCAGCCCUAAGCAUUUCAACGCCCUCUGCUCGUGGAUGACAUAGGCCUAUAUCAAACACGUCAUUACGCCCACAUUUCAAAUUCUAUUGUAUGAUUUUAUAAGAAUAACCAAUACAAAGCAUACAUGUGCCACAGUCUUUAUUCAUUUUAGUGACAACAUGGAUCAUGUAUAUAAGACAAUAUUCAUAGUAUGCAUAGGCAUAGCUUAGUUGAGAAGAUUAAAGGUAUUAUGGGGGCUCAGUUGCUUCAUAGUGAAACAUUAAAUGUAUUAUGGGGCUCAGCUUAGUGGGAACAGUAAAUGUAGUAUGGGGGCUCAGCUUAGUGGGAACAGUAAAUGUAUUACGGGGGCUCAUCUUAAUGGAACAAAUAGAUGUAUUAUUGGGCAACCCUUAGUGGAACAUUAAAUGUAUUAGGAUGCGAAUCUGCGAACAUUAAAUGUAUUAGGGGGGCUCAGCUUCGUGAGGAAAUUCAAUGUGUAAUGGGGGCUCAGCUUAGUGGAACAUUAAAUGUAUUAUGGGGAUCAGCCUUGUGGCUACAUUAAAUAUAUUAUACGGGCUCAGCUUAGUGGAACAUUAAAGGUGCCAUGGCAUGAAAAUCUCCCUUUAUGAGGUUUUCUAACAUAAAUAUGAGUUCCCAAAGUUCCCCUAGAGUUCCCCUAUGGUCCCCCAGUGGCUAAAUCUUGCGUUGUGUAAAACGAGCACUAGGUGUUCUGCUCGCCUUUGAAAAAGACGGAGGCUCUUGCUGAUUUGGAAUGUGGUUUCUUAUGUCGUCACACUGCAGUAAGCUCCUCCCCUUACACUGCCUGGCCCGCCCAGAGACUUGGCCCGCCAAUGAGACACGACCGUGCGAGCGCCACAUGUGUGUGUGUGUGUGUGUGUGAAUACACACACUGUUACGCAAGUGUUUCUUGUAGGUUCUUUGACGUCUCUUGUAUUUCCACAACAAGACUGUAGUGGGGGUUAUCUCAGCCAUGGUUGAGAAGGAAUUGGGGGAAAGGAACUUUGGCUUUGACUCCCUGAAGUACAUGAACUGCAACAUGUCGCCGGUUGCCUCCAGGCACCACCGCUGCGAAGCACCACCGCCCGGCAGCGGGCAGCCGGCAGCAGGCAGCGCGCGGUUCAGUCUACUUCAGAUUGAUAUGAAGUGGAAGAACCAGAGACGUUGCAGAACCCGACGAAGUCGUUUGUGAUUCAUAAUAUCGUCUGGAGGCGCACAUAGCUUUUUGCCGUGAUAAUAUGCAUUAUAUGAUAUAGAUAUCUAUGUAUUAUAUGAUAUUAUUUGGAUAUAGAGCUCCAGGACUGUAACGCAAGUGAUGUACACUUCCUUGUUAUUUGGAUAAAUAAAUGGUGCCAAAUUUGUACCGGGCACGUCAUCAGCUGUCCGUUGCCAGGCAACGGACAGCUGAUUACGUAAGGGUUGUCCGUUGCCGGGCAGGUUUCAAAAAACAUUCGCGCUCAUGUUGCCAAAGACGGAAUAACAUAAUACAGUUAACGGAUCGCUAGAUAACACUUGUUUUUACUUUAUAUUUGUAUUGUAUUUAAUUGUUUAAUCAAAUUUAGCUAGUAAACUGAGUGUUUAAAGCAGGUUUCAAAAAACAUUCGCGCUCAUGUUGCCAAAGACGAAAUAACAUAAUACAGAAAACGGAUCGCUAGAUAACACUUGUUUUUACUUUAUAUUUCUAUUGUAUUUAUUGUUUAAUCAAAUUUAGCAAGUAAACUGAGUGUUUAAAGCAGGUCAAGGACGAUUAGUUUACUGGAAAAAGUCUUUCAUUGAACCAAUUAAAAAAAUGUAGGGUAAUGGUUCACAUCUAUAUUACAUAACUUGAGCCAAUGACAAAUAUAUAGCUUGCCUCAAACAAUAUUUCCUAUGUUCAUAAAAACAAAAUAAUACAACUUGGCACCAAGUAUAAUUCUAUUCUUUGAAUGAAGUUAAUACAUUUAAAUCGUAUGUUAAAUCCUAAACAAAAAAAUAUUGAUUCACUCCAACAAUUGUUUCUCAUUUAAGAAAUAUCUAUCAGAAAUAAUUUGUUUUAUCCAAUCAAAAAGAUUAAAAUUUAAUCAAAAAGAUUAAAAUUUAAUCAAACAAUUGUUUCUCAUUUAAACAUGAACAUUUUUAAACAUAACAUAUUUUUGUAUACAAUAUAUAUUAACAAUCUAAAUGGCAGAGGCCUACUCCAGACCUCCCUCCAGACACAGACAGGCUGUGCUAGCUCACAGAACCAGUGAGUCAUCGUUACUCUGGUCAAGGCUCUCUACUGCAGGUUCAGCUGUAGCUGCUACCUUGAAUGAAUAAGCAGCUGAUGUUCCAAAAAGCUUCAAAACAUGAUCAUGCAGCUGGUGCUCAAAGCAAGCAUCACCUGACAGCUUUAAUCCAUAUCGGAUGUAUAGGAUGGAGUUUAAGGUCUGCAAGGACAUCCGGUUCCUGAGUUUGCUUUUUACCACGAGGACUGAGCUGCCUGUAAGUGCGUUGAGACGGGGGAAGGGCCGCACAGGCACCCGGGCCGUGUUCCAAUACCCGUACUGUCCGUACGUUCCAAUUCAGAUCCGGCGAAAAUAAGUAUACUUCAAGGACCCGGAUGCCGUACUCAAAAUGGGCUAAUCGUGAAGUGUGGAUCGAAGGACACUCUCCGUACUCAACGGCAGCCAUCUUAGCUACGUAGCGGAAGAGGCGGAGCCAGGCUGAGCCAAAGUCGGCGCAUUUUCCACAUAGCCUGCAUUAAUAGAGUCAUUUUGUAGUUUUUAUAGCUUUUUAUAGCUGCUAGGCGUAAAGAGUUCACCGUUCAAAGCAGGAUGUUUAUUGCGG